rnacentral:rRNA from 1 species
CUGUGAGCUCGAUGAGUAGGGCGGGACACGUGGUAUCCUGUCUGAAUAUGGGGGGACCAUCCUCCAAGGCUAAAUACUCCUGACUGACCGAUAGUGAACCAGUACCGUGAGGGAAAGGCGAAAAGAACCCCGGCGAGGGGAGUGAAAAAGAACCUGAAACCGUGUACGUACAAGCAGUGGGAGCACGCUUAGGCGUGUGACUGCGUACCUUUUGUAUAAUGGGUCAGCGACUUAUAUUCUGUAGCAAGGUUAACCGAAUAGGGGAGCCGAAGGGAAACCGAGUCUUAACUGGGCGUUAAGUUGCAGGGUAUAGACCCGAAACCCGGUGAUCUAGCCAUGGGCAGGUUGAAGGUUGGGUAACACUAACUGGAGGACCGAACCGACUAAUGUUGAAAAAUUAGCGGAUGACUUGUGGCUGGGGGUGAAAGGCCAAUCAAACCGGGAGAUAGCUGGUUCUCCCCGAAAGCUAUUUAGGUAGCGCCUCGUGAAUUCAUCUCCGGGGGUAGAGCACUGUUUCGGCAAGGGGGUCAUCCCGACUUACCAACCCGAUGCAAACUGCGAAUACCGGAGAAUGUUAUCACGGGAGACACACGGCGGGUGCUAACGUCCGUCGUGAAGAGGGAAACAACCCAGACCGCCAGCUAAGGUCCCAAAGUCAUGGUUAAGUGGGAAACGAUGUGGGAAGGCCCAGACAGCCAGGAUGUUGGCUUAGAAGCAGCCAUCAUUUAAAGAAAGCGUAAUAGCUCACUGGUCGAGUCGGCCUGCGCGGAAGAUGUAACGGGGCUAAACCAUGCACCGAAGCUGCGGCAGCGACGCUUAUGCGUUGUUGGGUAGGGGAGCGUUCUGUAAGCCUGUGAAGGUGUGCUGUGAGGCAUGCUGGAGGUAUCAGAAGUGCGAAUGCUGACAUAAGUAACGAUAAAGCGGGUGAAAAGCCCGCUCGCCGGAAGACCAAGGGUUCCUGUCCAACGUUAAUCGGGGCAGGGUGAGUCGACCCCUAAGGCGAGGCCGAAAGGCGUAGUCGAUGGGAAACAGGUUAAUAUUCCUGUACUUGGUGUUACUGCGAAGGGGGGACGGAGAAGGCUAUGUUGGCCGGGCGACGGUUGUCCCGGUUUAAGCGUGUAGGCUGGUUUUCCAGGCAAAUCCGGAAAAUCAAGGCUGAGGCGUGAUGACGAGGCACUACGGUGCUGAAGCAACAAAUGCCCUGCUUCCAGGAAAAGCCUCUAAGCAUCAGGUAACAUCAAAUCGUACCCCAAACCGACACAGGUGGUCAGGUAGAGAAUACCAAGGCGCUUGAGAGAACUCGGGUGAAGGAACUAGGCAAAAUGGUGCCGUAACUUCGGGAGAAGGCACGCUGAUAUGUAGGUGAAGUCCCUCGCGGAUGGAGCUGAAAUCAGUCGAAGAUACCAGCUGGCUGCAACUGUUUAUUAAAAACACAGCACUGUGCAAACACGAAAGUGGACGUAUACGGUGUGACGCCUGCCCGGUGCCGGAAGGUUAAUUGAUGGGGUCAGCGCAAGCGAAGCUCUUGAUCGAAGCCCCGGUAAACGGCGGCCGUAACUAUAACGGUCCUAAGGUAGCGAAAUUCCUUGUCGGGUAAGUUCCGACCUGCACGAAUGGCGUAAUGAUGGCCAGGCUGUCUCCACCCGAGACUCAGUGAAAUUGAACUCGCUGUGAAGAUGCAGUGUACCCGCGGCAAGACGGAAAGACCCCGUGAACCUUUACUAUAGCUUGACACUGAACAUUGAGCCUUGAUGUGUAGGAUAGGUGGGAGGCUUUGAAGUGUGGACGCCAGUCUGCAUGGAGCCGACCUUGAAAUACCACCCUUUAAUGUUUGAUGUUCUAACGUUGACCCGUAAUCCGGGUUGCGGACAGUGUCUGGUGGGUAGUUUGACUGGGGCGGUCUCCUCCUAAAGAGUAACGGAGGAGCACGAAGGUUGGCUAAUCCUGGUCGGACAUCAGGAGGUUAGUGCAAUGGCAUAAGCCAGCUUGACUGCGAGCGUGACGGCGCGAGCAGGUGCGAAAGCAGGUCAUAGUGAUCCGGUGGUUCUGAAUGGAAGGGCCAUCGCUCAACGGAUAAAAGGUACUCCGGGGAUAACAGGCUGAUACCGCCCAAGAGUUCAUAUCGACGGCGGUGUUUGGCACCUCGAUGUCGGCUCAUCACAUCCUGGGGCUGAAGUAGGUCCCAAGGGUAUGGCUGUUCGCCAUUUAAAGUGGUACGCGAGCUGGGUUUAGAACGUCGUGAGACAGUUCGGUCCCUAUCUGCCGUGGGCGCUGGAGAACUGAGGGGGGCUGCUCCUAGUACGAGAGGACCGGAGUGGACGCAUCACUGGUGUUCGGGUUGUCAUGCCAAUGGCACUGCCCGGUAGCUAAAUGCGGAAGAGAUAAGUGCUGAAAGCAUCUAAGCACGAAACUUGCCCCGAGAUGAGUUCUCCCUGACCCUUUAAGGGUCCUGAAGGAACGUUGAAGACGACGACGUUGAUAGGCCGGGUGUGUAAGCGCAGCGAUGCGUUGAGCUAACCGGUACUAAUGAACCGUGAGGCUUAACCUU